AGACCCGAAACCCGGUGAUCUAGCCAUGGGCAGGUUGAAGGUUGGGUAACACUAACUGGAGGACCGAACCGACUAAUGUUGAAAAAUUAGCGGAUGACCUGUGGCUGGGGGUGAAAGGCCAAUCAAACCGGGAGAUAGCUGGUUCUCCCCGAAAGCUAUUUAGGUAGCGCCUCGUGAAUUCAUCUCCGGGGGUAGAGCACUGUUUCGGCUAGGGGGCCAUCCCGGCUUACCAACCCGAUGCAAACUGCGAAUACCGGAGAAUGUUAUCACGGGAGACACACGGCGGGUGCUAACGUCCGUCGUGAAGAGGGAAACAACCCAGACCGCCAGCUAAGGUCCCAAAGUCAUGGUUAAGUGGGAAACGAUGUGGGAAGGCCCAGACAGCCAGGAUGUUGGCUUAGAAGCAGCCAUCAUUUAAAGAAAGCGUAAUAGCUCACUGGUCGAGUCGGCCUGCGCGGAAGAUGUAACGGGGCUAAACCAUGCACCGAAGCUGCGGCAGCGACGCUUAUGCGUUGUUGGGUAGGGGAGCGUUCUGUAAGCCUGUGAAGGUGUGUCGUGAGGCAUGCUGGAGGUAUCAGAAGUGCGAAUGCUGACAUAAGUAACGAUAAAGCGGGUGAAAAGCCCGCUCGCCGGAAGACCAAGGGUUCCUGUCCAACGUUAAU
rnacentral:rRNA from 1 species